UACGAAGGGGGCUAGCGUUGCUCGGAAUCACUGGGCGUAAAGCGCACGUAGGCGGCUUUCUAAGUCGGUGGUGAAAUCCUGGAGCUCAACUCCAGAACUGCCUCCGAUACUGGAAGGCUCGAGUCCGGGAGAGGUGAGUGGAACUGCGAGUGUAGAGGUGAAAUGCGCAGAUAUCAGGAGGAACACCGGUGGCGAAGGCGGUGGUCUGGGCCGGCACUGACGCGUGGAGGAGCGAAAGCCGUGGGGAGC
rnacentral:rRNA from 1 species